rnacentral:rRNA from 1 species
UGGCGCACGGGUGCGUAACGCGUGGGAAUAUACACAUAGGUAAGGAAUAACUGCUGGAAACGGUAGCUAAUACCUUAUAAUGACUCCGGUCCAAAGAUUUAUCGCCUAUGAAUUAGCCCGCGUCAGAUUAGCUUGUUGGUGAGGUAAAAGCUCACCAAGGCGACGAUCUGUAGGGGGUCUGAGAGGAUGAUCCCCCACACUGGUACUGAGACACGGACCAGACUCCUACGGGAGGCAGCAGUGAGGAAUAUUGGACAAUGGGGGCAACCCUGAUCCAGCCAUGCCGCGUGAGUGAAGACGGCCUUAGGGUUGUAAAGCUCUUUCAAUUGUGAAGAUAAUGACGGUAGCAAUACAAGAAGCUCCGGCUAAAUUCGUGCCAGCAGCCGCGGUAAU